ensembl:lncRNA
AGCCCCUCACUGCAGUGGUGAAGCACAGCGACGGCUCAGUGGACACGUUUGAACUGAACCACACCUUCAAUGAGACGCAGAUUGAAUGGUUCAUGGCAGGCUCAGCUCUCAACAGGAUGAAGGAGCUGCAGCACUGAGCUGUGUGGUAAAGUGCCAGGGGUAACAGGGUCACGCAAGUUGUGGGCAAAGGAAGAAUGUAGAAGCUGGAAAUAAGUUGUCCAUAUCCACAUUAACACACUAGACUGAAGUAUAACUGUUUUAGAGCAAAUAUAAAUGUUAGCCAGCUAAUGACUUCAGACUAAGUGCCUAGCUAAUGUCGAGAAUGGAGCGUAACCACUAGUCAGCUGCUGGACCACAGUUUAGAGUGGAAACAAAAGAGCUCACUAUAGACAAAUCCUUGACCCAUGUAGUGACAUAACGCACUACCAGCUGAUGUGAGCAGCUGUCCAAAUAUGUCCGCAUAACAAAGAGGACACUUCACUUAUGGAGCUUUGUCAGCCAUUUUGUUUUAGGGAGUUUUGAGUUGUGCAUCUCAAUAACAAACUCAGUUUUGUCGUAUGCCAGAUAUUUAUUUGCAUUUAUUCAGUGCAGUGUUUGUUUUAGGUACGCACAACACUUCAAGAUCCAUUUCGGGAAACCCAAACCCCCACCCCACCCCACCCCACCCAGCCAUUGCCCUAACCCACAAUUAGCCGACCUGCUUAUUACCUCUGCCCUGGUUUUAAGGUCAAGCACACCAUAUGGAUCUUCCUGUUUUGUAUUUAUUUAUGAUUACUGAUUGAUUCUGCAUGCUCAUUUUUGUUCAAGCAGAAUGUGUGUGAGGAAUUUCCAAAUUAUCAGCACCGUUUCUUGUAAAUCCAUUUCACUAUGACAUCAAAUUAUUAUAGCUUUGUGCGAACUCGGAUGACAAAGAAAAUAUAUACCUGGCUCCUUUAUAAAUAUGUCUGUAUUACUGUUUGUCAGCUGCUUCUAACUGUAAAUUUCUAGGCCCAUGUACAUUGAAGUAAUUAUGUGUUUGCUCCCACAUGAUCUUUUGUGUUGCAGAAAUGCCUAUGGAUUGUACAAUAAAAUAAAUCUCUCCUUUAUUU